ACUGCUUCUUCAAUGAGCACAUUUUGAUCGCAGAUCUGAAGACAUUUUUUCAAAAUGGCAAGUGAGGUGAUUUAUGCAGAAGUAUCACCAGAAGAGAGAGGGCAUUUUACUUCACAAACUUCAGAUGAAGGUGAUAGGACGACAUACGCUGAGGUGAAAGUGAAAUGGAAAUCUGACACGUCUGACAAUACACCCAAGACUACACAUACAGUGGUCUGCUCUGAGAAUUCACACUGGUGUUACGUUGCUAUUGCGCUGUACUUCACCGCAGUGAUUCUGCUCAUCACUGUGAUCCUCUUAGCUGUGAAAUGUCAUCAUCUCUGAGGUGAAUGGUGCAGUCCAGCUGACAUACAGGAAAAGUCAGCUUGAGAAGGCUCUGCUCCUUCAACAAAACAUGGUAUAAUACUUGUUUACUUUUAUAUUAUUUUCUCUGAAGAGACUUUUAUGAAAGAAGACAUGCUGUCAGUCUGAUCACACUUCAGUUACUUCUACCAGGAGUUUCAUGAAACCUUCAACCUCCCCAUAUAUGGAUAAAAUAUAUCUUAUUACUUUUAUUCUGAAUUUGAUUAGACCCAUAAUACCAGCAGCCAUUCAAUGAUAUCAGUGCUUGUGACAAGGCAUGGCCUCAAGUUGCUGAAUUAAAAGUUGGAUUUGAGGCUUGUCUAGGCAGAGCAAAUGUCCAGAUGGGCCAAUUUGAGACAUCACUUGUAAUUCACAUCUGACUUGAUUUUGCAAAAAUUUGCCAUGUACACAAGCUUUUAGAUUUCAAUAUGCUCAAAGGCAAAAAUGCAGGGAUAGAACAGGGAAUGGGAAAGGUUGCACUGGAUGUUUUUUAUGACAUCCUGAUCUAGAUGUGAGUUUUCCUAUCCUGACAGCCCUUGGUGGGAUUUGUAUGAAAGAGAGGUAUUGACAGCACAGGAAAACUGUAUUAGAUUAGUAGAGAAGUUUCAGUCUUGUUCCCUCAUUAGCUUGAACAAAAAAAUUCUAUUCUACUUGUCCAGAACAGUAUUUCACAGAGCCAUAAUAUGUUGUUUCUGUCUUGGGGCAGUAAUUCAUUCUGUGCUAUCUUAUGUUUCCAAAUGGUGUAGCUUCAGUUAAAUCAGAGUCCUCUGCCAGAACCUCAGGUUCAAAUGCAUUUGAUUUUAGUUAUUGUUUUGGUGUUUGAUUUUAUAUGGUUUUAAUUUCUCCUCAGAUAUACUCUAACUCCUUUGGGGCAGGCUGAUAUCAACGAUUUGCAGUCCUUGAGUCCUGUACAGCAAAUAUUUCUAAGAACUGUUCCCUGUAUUUAACUUUAUCUGUACUUAAGCCAUGUUGUUGUUGCUGUUAAUAAUGUACCACAUUGUUUAUAGUAUAUGCACCAGAUAUCAAUAAAGAGAUUUAUUAAA